rnacentral:rRNA from 1 species
UACGUAGGGUCCGAGCGUUGUCCGGAAUUAUUGGGCGUAAAGAGCUCGUAGGCGGCUUGUCGCGUCGACUGUGAAAACCCGCGGCUCAACCGCGGCCUGCAGCCGAUACGGGCAGGCUAGAGUUCGGUAGGGGAGGACUGGAAUUCCUGGUGUAGCGGUGAAAUGCGCAGAUAUCAGGAGGAACACCGAUGGCGAAGGCAGGUCUCUGGGCCGAUACUGACGCUGAGGAGCGAAAGCGUGGGGAGCGAACAGG